CAGAGCUGAAGCUGUGGAAGUCUGCUGGGCUCAGAAGGUGAGGCUGUUGACACCCUUGAGGGCAGUUCUCAAUCAAUUAUGGAUGGGACCCAGUGAAAAAAUGCACUAGCCUCCUCUCCUUUGGAUGGAUUAUUCAGGCAGAGAAUUCAGCUCAAUACGAGGAAGAACUUUUAACAACCCUAUUACUGAACAUGGAGCACAACACCUUGGAAGAGUAAGUGAUCAAAAUCCAUAUAUCCCUGAGUGACGUCAGCAUCACAGUGGAGUGAGCUUUCUUAUAAACUCUUCCCCCAAUAAGAUACAACAAAAGGGACAGUCACAGACUAACAAGGAAGUCUCACACAGCAAAACGUGACAUUGGAAAGACCCACACUGCCGCACAUCUGAGAGUGGACACGCUGGGGCCCCCAGAGGAAGUGGGGAGAGGUAAGGAGAAAUCCUCUCCCUUGCCAUCAGAUCCAUGAUUGGGGUCCGCGUGGCUCCCAGAGAGGGGGGAGGGGCGGCCCUCUGUGGGGAAACCAUAGCUCUUCGGGCUCUCUCAGCCAGUGGGAAACUCCCACACAGAGGACUAAGAACUGCUGCAGGGAUGCCAUCAACGUUUGAGCACCCCAGGAGAGUGGAUAAUAAGAGGUGAGGGAGAAGCCCCUCCCUCCAGGGACCCAGCAGGCAAAAGAGAGAGCCCCUCCCCCACAUGCCCGACACUGCUGCUCAGUGGACCAGUCAGAGCAGCUGCUGUGGAGGGCAAAACUGCCACCGCAGAGGGCAGGCAGCCGCCAGAGAGCGCAGGGUGCUCAAAUUACACAGCUCUUGGCUCCCACAUGGUGGCAGCAGGUGGAAACUGCAACCAGAUGUUUCCAGGAUGAGGAAAAACAAAGUGAAUACAGGAAGCACAAUGCAAAGGUACAUUAAAUUGCCAGACCAGAAGGAAAAUGACAAGCGCCCAGAAAUCAACCCUGAAGGCACAGAAAUCCAUAACCUAAACUACAGAGAAUUCAAAAUAGCUAUCAUAAAAAAGCUCAAAGAAAUACAAGAAAACUCAGAUAAACAAUUAAUGAGAUAAGGAGUUUCUUCACAAAAGAGAUUGAAAUCAUAAGGAAAAACCAAUCAGUAUUGAUGGAGAUGAAGAACACAAUGGAGGAGAUAAGGGAGAAUCUGGAAUCUUUAAAGAACAGAGCUGACAAUAUGGAAGAAAGAAAUAGCAUUAUAGAGGAUAGGAAUACAGAUACGCUCCAGGUGGA